GCAUUGGUAGCGCGGUGACAGAGCGGUGGGGCGUUGACCCAUGCGGCCUGGGUUCGACCCCCGGUCGAUACA